rnacentral:rRNA from 1 species
UCCUACGGGAGGCAGCAGUGGGGAAUUUUCCGCAAUGGGCGAAAGCCUGACGGAGCAACGCCGCGUGAGGGAUGAAGGCCUCUGGGCUGUAAACCUCUUUUAUCAAGGAAGAAGAUCUGACGGUACUUGAUGAAUAAGCCACGGCUAAUUCCGUGCCAGCAGCCGCGGUAAUACGGGAGUGGCAAGCGUUAUCCGGAAUUAUUGGGCGUAAAGCGUCCGCAGGCGGCCCUUCAAGUCUGCUGUUAAAAAGUGGAGCUUAACUCCAUCAUGGCAGUGGAAACUGUUGGGCUUGAGUGUGGUAGGGGCAGAGGGAAUUCCCGGUGUAGCGGUGAAAUGCGUAGAUAUCGGGAAGAACACCAGUGGCGAAGGCGCUCUGCUGGGCCAUCACUGACGCUCAUGGACGAAAGCCAGGGGAGCGAAAGGGAUUAGAUACCCCUGUAGUCCUGGCCGUAAACGAUGAACACUAGGUGUCGGGGGAAUCGACCCCCUCGGUGUCGUAGCCAACGCGUUAAGUGUUCCGCCUGGGGAGUACGCACGCAAGUGUGAAACUCAAAGGAAUUGACGGGGA